rnacentral:lncRNA from 1 species
UUUAGAACGACUUUUCUAGAUCUCAUUCAUACUCUGGCCAGAGAUUCUAAAUCAUAUCAUAGAGUAUUCUCCUUCAAACAGUUUGAAGGUUAGAGAUCCCUUGUUGCGCAUUCACUUGCCUCCAUGGUUAAGUGGCUUAACCCCAACGAUGCCAUGGACACCCCGAUGGGGUGACUUUGACAUAAUCAAAGAUCAAGAACUUAACCACAAGACAACUGUGAUGCCUCAGGUCAAAGGACUACUUUGCAUUAUCCCAACCAUGAGUUCUCAUGUGACAUGAGUAUGAGAACUCUUCGUUGAUCGCGUUCAGUGAACUCAUUCUCUACUGAGCACCUAUGUACUUGUCUUGAUGUCACACACACCAAUGACUCGAG